rnacentral:rRNA from 1 species
AACUCCUCGUACUCUAUGAGGAGCGAUUUCUGCUCAAUGUACUGAUAAAUUGCCGCAGUACUCUGACUGUGCUAAGGUAGCAUAAUCAUUUGGCUUAUAAUUGAAGUCUAGUAUGAACGAAGCCAUGGGGGUAGACUGUUUCCAAUAAGGUUUUUAAAAUUACUUAAGGGGUGAAAAUACCCCUGUCGUAAAUAAUAGACGAGAAGACCCUUGAAAUUUUAAAAAUAUCCACUGGUUAGUGGUGCUAUUUUUGUUGGGGCGACAUAGUAGCAUUUAACCUACUAAAAGCAAAUAGGCAGCGAGUUGGUGGCCUAAUUAAAUUACUCUAGGGAUAACAGCAUAAUAUUAUAAAGUUUGUGACCUCGAUGUUGGACUAGGAAAAUAUAGUUCAGAAGACUAUUAUAGUGGCUCUGUUCG